AACGAACUGCUGCUCAUCUUUCCCCCCUGUUCAGGUGAAUAUUUUUUCUCUCGCUUAAUUUGCACUGUUAAAAUUCCUUU